ACAAGUUUGUGCAGUGUGCGAGAAGCGACGUCGAUGAUAUGACUAUGCAGUAGGAAACCUUUACCAUGAAGCCAAAAAAAGAGAAAAAAAAAAAUUGCCUAGGCCUACUGUCAGUGGAAUAUGGCUUGUGGAAGACGGCAUGUCCUAUAUUUCAACAGGGUAAACAAGCAUACAGCUCAACGCAUUUUGUUAUUGGAAACUAUUGAAUAUCCUGACCCAGUAAAUGCAGAUGGAACAGUACCAACUGUGUGUAGACGUCCCCUACCAGAAAUAGAGAAACCAAAACAAAAUAUCACAGAAUGUAAGUUAGGAUAGUCAUGAGUAGAUUUUUCAUAUGAUUGAAAAACGGUAACUGUAGGCCUACAGGAUUUGGUAUACAGGAGUUGGUGCUGAAGUUUGUUACCACUUGUAUUGUAAACUUCAAUAUUAUUCAGAAAAGUAAAUGAAGAGAAUAAUGUUGGCAGCAUGUGCAAUAUAAAAAAAAAAAAACAAUUGUAAAAAUAAAGUAUAACAAUUUUAAUAGAUGCAUAACAUUGAGAACAUUAUUACAACUAUUACUAAAUUAAUUAUAUAGCAAUAUAUUUGAAAUAUAAUAUUAUAUUACUUGUUUAUCAAUCUUUUAUUUAUAAUGCUGUAUGUAUUAUUAAAAGGUUGCUGAUACAUUAAAGGUAAAUAAAUCCUUUUAUCCUCUGUUUGGAAAAACCUUUUCACAAGAUAUGAAAUAUUUUUGAUGCUAUGGCCUUUCCAAAUAGGCGCAAACAAUUUUUUUGAUGGGGCCCUGUCAAUCUGGAGGAGCCCAUUAUUAGGGAACCCAUGACAUUAUUGAGGGCCCAUGAUAGUAAUUAUUUUUGAAAAAUAUAUGGGGAAAAAAUGCUACCUGCAAUUUUUAUGGGCCCUGGUAAACUAGGGCCCUGGGGAUCUUUUCCUCCUCUCUUGGUGGCCCUGUGUAGAUUCAAGCUAUUUGUGUUGAAUUUAAAUAAAAGAUGUAUGUUAGAUGUAUGAAGUUGCAAAUUAAAUCUGAUCAUUAUGUUUCAAUUACAGUAUAAAGAAGCUUCUGUGUGUGGAUUUUUUUUGUGUCAUUAUUUAAUUUGUUUUAAUAUUAUUAUCUUUACUGAACAUAUUUAUAUACAAAGCCAUGUUGAUUGGUGGAUGGAUUGGGUUAGUUAGUCCCUUUAUAUUUUAGUCUCAGAUCAAUGUAGAGUAAAUAUGGCAGUACAGUAGAUAACUUUAGAAAAGAAAUAAUACUGUACACUACAUGAAAUGCACUGGUUUAAUGCCUUUAUGUUUUGAUUGUAAUUCUGCUACAUAACGUUUGUCAACCACCGCGUGCUGAAUGGUACAACAAUGUUACAAUUUUAAUGCUGCAUACGCAGUUUACAAAAAAAAAA